rnacentral:Y_RNA from 1 species
GGCUGGUCUGAGUGCAGUGGUGUUUACAACUAGUGGGUCACAACCAGUGACAGAUUUCUUUGUCCUUCUCCACUCCCACUGCUUCAUUUGACUAGCCUUUA